rnacentral:lncRNA from 1 species
GGGGUGAAAAAAAAUUUUUUAUACUGUUAUGUUUGAGGUAAUAGGUUAUAUUUGUGUAUAAUGUAUUAAGGGGAGAUAAUCAAUCCAAAUGACUUCAUAGGGGUGAACAAUAAAGAUUUGUUUUAUACUGUCAGGUUUGAGGUAAUGGUAGGUUAUACUUUGUGUAUAAUGUAUAAAGGGGAGAUAAUCAAUCAAAUGACUUCAUAGGGGGUGAACAAUAAAGAUUUUUUUUAUACUGUCAGGUUUGAGGUAACGGUAGGUUAUACUUUGUGUAUAUUGUAUAAGGGGAGAUAAUCAAUCCAAAUGACUUCAUAGGGGUGAACAAUAAAGAUUUGUUUUAUACUGUCAGGUUUGAGGUAACGGUAGGUUAUACUUUGUGUAUAAUGUAUUAAGGGGAGAUAAUCAAUCCAAAUGACUUCAUAGGGGGUGAACAAAAAGAUUUGUUUUAUACUGUCAGGUUUGAGGUAAUGGUAGGUUAUACUUUGUGUAUAAUGUAUUAAAGGGGAGAUAAUCAAUCCAAAUGACUUCAUAGGGGUGAACAAAAAGAUUUGUUUUAUACUGUCAGGUUUGAGGUAAUGGUAGGUUAUACUUUGUGUAUAUAUGUAUAAGGGGAGAUAAUCAAUCCAAAUGUACUUCAUAGGGGUGAACAAUAAAGAUUUGUUUUAUACUGUCAGGUUUGAGGUAACGGUAGGUUAUACUUUGUGUAUAAUGUAUUAAGGGGAGAUAAUCAAUCCAAAUGACUUCAUAUGUUGUGAACAAAAAAGAUUUGUAUUAUACUGUCAGGUUUGAGGUAAUGGUAGGUUAUACUUUGUGUAUAAUGUAUAAAGGGGAGAUAAUCAAUCCAAAUGACUUCAUAGGG